rnacentral:lncRNA from 1 species
AUGGGGUGGUUUUCUGAGAGUCACCUGUGCAAGCAAAAUGUCAGUCCCUGGAUUCCUGAUGGCAAAGCCAGUGGGGUGUAGCAGACAAGGCUCAGAGCAGAGCAGGGAAUCUUGGUUUUAGGUCACUCUCCACUGUGACUGGAGGGACCUUGGUUGCUGUGUCCACAAACUGGGCCCUAGGAAUCUUCUGAUGAGGUGUGGGGCUGGGGUAGGGGAGGGACAGGCAGCUGGGAAGAGAGGAGGGUGGAGGCCCUGUGAGGUUCUGUCAAAGGCCUUUCUGUCUGAGUCUACAGGAUCAUGGUGGUGGUUGUCUUCACGCCUGGAUGUGUUCCCUGCGCCACGCCUGCCCUGCAAGCUGGGACCAGUUUUUCCACUCCCUCCCACUAGCAGUGUGGACUUGUAGAGCAAGGGAGGGUGAUCAAGAGGAAGAACGUGAAGUCUGCCCAGCGUUCCCAUGCCUCUCUCCCACUGGUGAGAGUUGAUGGUGACAGCUAGAACUCCCAAGGCCCAGUGAGGGGACCAUUAGCCAAGAGUCACACUGCCCAGUGCAUUCCCAGUCUCCGACUCCUGAGUCCUUGUCUCCUGAACCACUUUUGUGGAAGCCCAAGGCCAGCCUCAUCAAGUGGCAGUUGCUCUGUAGCUUCCUGUUCCCCCAGAAGAUCCACCCCGCCACAGUGACUGCAGAAGCCCUUCAAGAAAGGAACCAGGCAAGGACUCUGAUCGCCUCCUGGUAGCUUUCUGUGCGGCAGAUAUCCCAUUGAUGCUCAAUGCAUGAUUCUGCUACCUACCCAAUGUUCUCUGAAAAAAAUAAUUUCUGUUCACCAGCUGUGAUAGUUUAGUAUUAAUUUUUUUUUUGCUUCAUUUUGUUUUGUUUUUCAAGAGAGAGUUUUCUGUGCAUUUCUGGCUGUCCUGGAAAUCAUGCUGUAGACCACACUAACCUCAAACUCAGAGAUCCACUUGCCUCCCUUCAUGAGUGCUGGGAUUAAAGGCUUGUGCCACCACUGCCUGGCCUUAAUGUUAACUUUUAACAGAACCAGAAAUUCCCUAUGUGUCAGACAUCUAGGCAUGCCUGGGGGGGGGUGUUAUCUUGAAUGCAUUAAUUGAAGUGGGAGGGCCUACUCAUUGGGGUGCUGGACUAUGUAAAUGGAGAAGUAAAGUUUAGCAGCAACAAGCA